rfam:Flavobacteriaceae bacterium TMED265 125094, whole genome shotgun sequence.
UACCUUUGCGCUCUCAUUGAUAGUCAAUGAAAUACAUAAAAAUCAUUUAAAUAAUAUUAGCAUG